rnacentral:rRNA from 1 species
UACGUAGGGUGCGAGCGUUGUCCGGAAUUAUUGGGCGUAAAGGGCUCGUAGGCGGUCUGUCGCGUCGAAAGUGAAAACCCAGGGCUUAACCCUGGGCCUGCUUCCGAUACGGGCAGACUAGAGGUAUGCAGGGGAGAACGGAAUUCCUGGUGUAGCGGUGAAAUGCGCAGAUAUCAGGAGGAACACCGGUGGCGAAGGCGGGUCUCUGGGCCGAUACUGACGCUGAGGAGCGAAAGCGUGGGGAGCGAACAGG